rnacentral:tRNA from 1 species
AUUCUAAUAGUCAAAAAUGAUUUUAAAUUGCAAAUUUAAAGGUAAAAAAAAAUUUUUUUAGAAUU